UGAUACUGAAACUCUGGCCAGCA
rnacentral:misc_RNA from 1 species